CGCAGCAUCCCCGACCAGACGCGGACCCUGGGACGGGAGGAAGGCGCUGCCUGCAUCCCUACGCGCUCCCGGGAAGGGAAGGCUGGGGGGUCGCGCCCUGGGCCCUGCCCCGCGCUCCGGGGACGCGGUCACCGCCUGGAGUUGGCGCUCCGCGCGCAGACGGUGGUCCCCUCCUCGGGGGCCCGCGCUGCGCUGUCGGCUGCGGGAAGACCCUGCGGCGGAGAGGCCUUUUCUUUAGAAAGGAGGAAGUGUCGGAUCCUGAACCCUGAACCACGCGGGACGUGGGGGGAACAAACAAACACAUAAAAAUUUACACAUCUGGCGCCUCAAUGGGACAUCUGGAAGAGAAGACUUCGCCUAGAGUGAAAAAAUGAAGAUUCACCGUAACGGUGGGGAAGAAUUCACCGUAUAGGUGGGAAGAUAUUUCACCGCACACAAAGCCCACGAUCAGCUGCAGAAUUCCCGAUCUAAAACUCCUCCAAGCCUGUGUGGAUUCCUGCAACAACAGAUCCCAGAGAGAAACUGAC